rnacentral:lncRNA from 1 species
AGUUUGAUUCCUCUCCACCACAUCAUGGGGGUGGAAUAUGGAAGAUUUGGAUAGUAAGUAUGAGAGAAUCAGCUUUCAUGUGACAUUUGUCAAUGGUGACUUUGCAAUUGGGUCAUUGGUGACAUGUGCCCACACACAGGACUUCGUGGAAAUGGAAAGUGUUUUCAUCUGUAUAUCAACCUGGAGUAGGGUUUCAUGACCAGAAACCAUUUUCAGAUCUGAGCUCACUUUUGUGUCCUUGGUUGCUGGUAAGCUUCUCUGCCCCCUCCACAUGGCUAUUUCAGUGUGCUGGGGUGUAAUAGAAGGGGAGAAUACUGUGAAAUUUUAGUGUUGUUUCAGAAGGUUGUAUUUGGAACUAUACAUUUAGACUUCAUUGCAUGAUGCACUGUGAAAGUUGAAGAUUUAAAUGCAACCAAAGACAAGGUUUGGCAAGGCCUGCAAAGUGUAUCAUUGAUACUUACAGGCUGACUCUGAAACAAAUCAAAAACAUUAUUAUAAUUGCACCAAUAUUGUUCAAGCUUCUUAUACCAUAAGAUAAAUGACGUUAUAAAUACAUGUUUUCCUAAUAUGGAUGAUGUGAAAUCCAACAGAAGUAAACAUUUUAUCUUAGUAUACCAUUUGGCUACAAGAUUGGAAAUGAAUCUUCUGAUUUUCAGUAUUGUCUACUAUAUGUAUCAGAGUUCUUUUUGUGUGAUUC